rnacentral:rRNA from 1 species
GACAUGCAAGUCGAACGCGAAAGUCCCCUUCGGGGGGCGAGUAGAGUGGCGCACGGGUGAGUAACACGUAGGUAAUCUACCUUUGGAUUGGGAAUAACAACCGGAAACGGUUGCUAAUACCGAAUAAUGCAGCGGCACCUAAUGGUGACAGUUGUUAAAGCGGGGGAUCGCAAGACCUCGCGUCUGAAGAGGAGCCUGCGGCAGAUUAGCUAGUUGGUAAGGUAACGGCUUACCAAGGCGAUGAUCUGUAGCCGGCCUGAGAGGGCGGUCGGCCACACUGACACUGACAUACGGGUCAGACUCCUACGGGAGGCAGCAGUCGGGAAUUUUGGGCAAUGGGCGAAAGCCUGACCCAGCAACGCCGCGUGAAGGAUGAAAUCCUUCGGGAUGUAAACUUCGCAAGAACGGGAAGAAUAAGUAAGAGUCAAUAUCUCUUACGAUGACGGUACUGCUUGUAAGCUCCGGCUAACUCCGUGCCAGCAGCCGCGGUAAUACGGGGGGAGCAAGCGUUGUUCGGAUUUACUGGGCGUAAAGGGCGCGUAGGCGGCCACCGCAAGUCGACUGUGAAAUCUCCGGGCUUAACCCGGAAAGGUCAGCCGAUACUGCGGGGCUAGAGUGCAGAAGGGGCAACUGGAAUUCUCGGUGUAGCGGUGAAAUGCGUAGAUAUCGAGAGGAACACCUGCGGCGAAGGCGGGUUGCUGGGCUGACACUGACGCUGAGGCGCGAAAGCUAGGGGAGCGAACGGGAUUAGAUACCCCGGUAGUCCUAGCCUUAAACGAUGAAUGCUUGGUGUCUGGGGUUUUAUAGUCCCCGGGUGCCGUCGCUAACGCUUUAAGCAUUCCGCCUGGGGAGUACGGUCGCAAGACUGAAACUCAAAGGAAUUGACGGGGACCCGCACAAGCGGUGGAGCAUGUGGUUUAAUUCGACGCA